AGUCAAGGCACAAUUCUACUUGCUUUUCUUCUGACUUAAAACACGAUGGAGAAGGUAGCUACAUGCUGAAGACAAAAUUUCGGUAAAUAUAGUAAGGAGAAAGCCAGAAGUAGUUUACUUGUGGGUUCAGGAAAUAGUUAUUCAGCAAAGUGAGACAAGUUACAUCAGCUGGUUUGCCUUUCACGUUGGGAGCUGUGGGGGAGCCGAAGCUAACAAACUCCGUUUGAAAUCCAGAGCAACGGUCAGGUUUUUUUGAGUGGACAACAAAAUAAUCUUGAGGACCAGGCAAGAUUCCGAUCCAAUUUGAUGGCGAGCUAAAAGGACCUUGAAGGAGGGACCCAGAACCAGAAGAGGAGAAGAGUCAAGUACACACAUAUACAUACACAGACGAUUCAGACAGACUCAACAUAACCGGUACACCUGCAACACGGGCUGUCCUUCCUAUUAGAGGCCCAGACGGACAAUUUUCUUUUGUUUUCAUCUUGUGGGACAUUUGCACUAAUUUCUUCUUUGUUUUGGGCGUUUUCAGUUAACUGAUUGUAAGCCAUGGCAAAUUUUAUUUCUAUUAUGUAAUAAUAUAAGAGUUGCUACUCCAUUUCAUUUCUGUGUUCGACUUAUUAUUGUUGCUCUAUCCCUUGGCUCCACAAACCAGGUUCUUCUGCUCUUAGGCCCGCAGAUUGUUCUAUCAGUUUAUUUCAGUAUUAAAAGUAACCCACUCUCGUAUCUCGGAAAAUCGGUUACAUAGGACUAGGGCAAUCCAAAAUGUACAUUGUUUUGAGUCAUCCAAAUCAGUAAGGUUACAAAUGCUUUCACAUAACUGGAUUUUCUAAAAUCAUUGGGGUUGGUCAGUAAAUGGCAAAAAUAUUUCAAUUAUUGACCCAUAGAAAUGUGCUUUAUAUUGAUGAAAAUCCCAAAUUUAAGUUUUAGUUAAAAAUUCCAAACUUUUCUUGGUAUUUUUUUUUUUUUUUUUACAAAGAAUCAAAUAUCUAUUCUGGUGCAUCUUUAAAACUGAAUCAGUGAAUGCUAGAAAUAAAUUACACAGAAUUUUUUUGUUUUUGAACACAAAGAAGUAAACAGCGCUGUGGUUUCGAUCUCUUGUUCAGGCCAUCAAUCUCUUCAUUUUAACACACUAUACACAUGAACAAGCAGUGCUUUAAUAAAAUAUGGACAGUUCAAAAGGCUAAAUGAAGAAUUUCUAUUAAUGGUUGUCAGUUUUCUGUGCCUAAAAUUUGAAUUUAGUGUCAGAAAAAUGGUAAAACACACAGAAAAAUGUUGUAAGAAACUCAAAGCAAACUGCUCUGAUAUAAGGACAAUCAAUAAAAAAAAAAAAAAAAAUUGCAACUAAGAAGACAAUAUAUGUGAUGAAAGGAAUCAGAAAUUGCAGAAGGUAAUUGAAAUUAUAUCAAGAAAAGCGACAUACAAUCAUCACCUAAACAAGAAAAACAAAAACAUGUUUAUUACUUGGUAAGAAUCACAGACACAGAAAACUGAAUAAAUAUUAUUUAACACAUACUCUGUGCCUUGGUUCCAUGCCCUACUGUGCUGUAAGUUUGCCUUUAUAUAAUUAAUAGAAAGAUUUAAUUCAUCAUGUCCCAUCUAUGCUCUUGUCUGCACAUUGCUCAUGCAAAAGCCACACAUAAUACGACAGGUAAUUUGUCUUGUCAUAGAGCAAACAUGUUUAAACCCCCUUUAAAGACAAAUUGGCGGUAGCAGCAUCAUGAUGUGGGAAUGCUUUUCUACAAAAGGAACAGAUGCUGGUGACAAGGUGGAUGGAGCUAAAAAGGGGAUCAUGGAAGAAAACGCUACAAAAGAGGAGGGUGGAGGUUCAACCUCCAGAUGGACAACAUCCCCAAACACACAAUCGGAGCCGCAAUGAAAUCUUUUGAGUAACAGGGCAUCGCAGGUGUACAGUGGAUGGAUACAUUUUAAUGAAAAAUGAUGAACUUACAGGACACAAAGGAAACACAGGAAGCAGGGAGACAGCGAUGACAACAGCAAUUACACCAGACGACCGGACAACGAAGCGACUGAGAACAGGAACUUAAAUACAACUGAGGGCUAUAAUUAUGAGGACAUGAUCAGAUCCACUCCAAACCCUGACCUCUGUCACACUGACAUGUUUACAGAGGCCAAAUGGGGAGUAAAGUGGGCCAGGAACCUGCCAGUCUCCUCUUGCCUUACAGCCUUAUUUACAGUCAUCUCCUACAACCUUGAUUGAUAGCAGCCAUCUCAUUAACACUACAGCAGUCCAAGGCCUUCAACCAAUGUCCAGUAGACACAUACUCUCUCACCUACACUGCUGCGUUGUGAUUAGAUGUCCCCCUGGAAAGCGACUGUACUACAAAGGAAGAAAAAGACAAACCUUCUACUUUCUUCUGCUGCCUUGACAUUAUUUCCAAAAGCAGGGAGAGGAAA